GAUUCCAUCCUGAACUGCAGCUUUCUCUAGUUUGAAUGUUGUCUUCCCAACAUCCUCUGGCACCAAGGAUAUUAUCAAGGCAGGUUUCUUUUGGCGUGGCACCUAAAAUGGAGACGCGAAAUAAGGAAGGCAUGAGGUGCUGUCGUGCAGAAAGCUUUAAAUGACACUACCGAUGACCCUGCACUUUUGGUGGAAUAUCAAAUUGUCAGAGGCAAACGAUUUUGAGAAAGGGUUGCCCCAGAGAAGGUGCUGCAUUGAUCAAGGUAACAAUGGAAGAAUUUCUUGCACCUACCUUGUUGACUAGAAGCAACUAAUUUUCGUACUGUGCAAUCAAUACACACGUCUCUGAAUUUUGUCAAUACUGAACUCCUACUCUGGUGUCAUAUUAGUGGCUCCUUGAGCUUUUUUAGAAAGUUACUCAGAGUACAGGAAAUAAAGUUUGAAUUAGCUCCUAUU